UGCAGCUGGGUAGCUACGUUCGGGACGGAUAAACGCUGAAAGCAUCUAAGCGUGAAACCAGCCUAGAGAUGAGGUUUCUCAUUACGAAAGUAAGUAAGGUCCCAUGAAGACGACAUGGUAGAUAGGCCGGGAGUGGACGUACAGUAAUGUAUGGAGCGGACCGGUACUAAUAGACCGAGGACUUGACUUA
rfam:Megasphaera cerevisiae DSM 20462 scaffold_16, whole genome shotgun sequence.